CCCUUAGAUGUUCUGGGCUGCACCCGUGCUACACUGGCAGGUUCAGCGAGCUUCAUGCCCUGAUCUGAAAGGAAUGGGAAAUCUUUUCAAAACCUGCCGUGCUUGGGAUAGAUGUUUGCAAUUAUUCAUCUCCAACGAGGAUUGCCUUGUAAGCGCACGUCAUCAGCGUGCAUUGAAUACGACCCUGUAUUCUGUACACACCGCCCGUCGCUCCUACCGAUUGAAGUUUUCGGUGAGUUGACAGGAGGAUUUUUUUGAAACUGGUUCGCCAGUGGAUUUUAGAUCCAAAUGCCAACGAAUCGAUGACUUUAGAGGAAGGAGAAGUCGUAACA
rnacentral:rRNA from 1 species